CCGUAACUAUAACGGUCCUAAGGUAGCGAAAUUCCUUGUCGGGUAAGUUCCGACCCGCACGAAAGGCGUAACGAUUUGGGCACUGUCUCAACAACAGACUCGGUGAAAUUGUAAUUCCGGUGAAGAUGCCGGAUACCUGCGACAGGACGGAAAGACCCCAUGGAGCUUUACUGUAGCUUGACAUUGGGUCUUGGUACUACAUGUACAGGAUAGGUGGGAGGCUUUGAAACCAGGACGCCAGUUUUGGCGGAGCCAUCCUUGGGAUACCACCCUUGUAGUACUGGGACUCUAACCAUAGGCCAUGAAUCUGGUCUUGGGACACUGUCAGGUGGGCAGUUUGACUGGGGCGGUCGCCUCCCAAAAGGUAACGGAGGCGCUCAAAGGUUCUCUCAGUACGGUCGGAAAUCGUACGUAGAGUGUAAAGGCAAAAGAGAGCUUGAUUGCAAGACAUACAGGUCGAGCAAGGAUGAAAAUCGGACUUAGUGAUCCGGUGGUUCUGCGUGGAAGGGCCAUCGCUCAACGGAUAAAAGCUACCCUGGGGAUAACAGGCUUAUCUCCCCCAAGAGUCCACAUCGACGGGGAGGUUUGGCACCUCGAUGUCGGCUCAUCACAUCCUGGGGCUGUAGUAGGUCCCAAGGGUUGGGCUGUUCGCCCAUUAAAGUGGUACGCGAGCUGGGUUCAGAACGUCGUGAGACAGUUCGGUCCCUAUCCGUCGCAGGCGUAGGAAAUUUGAGAAGACCUGUCCUUAGUACGAGAGGACCGGGAUGGACGUACCUCUGGUGUACCAGUUGUUCUGCCAAGGGCAUGGCUGGGUAGCUAUGUACGGAAUGGAUAAGCGCUGAAAGCAUCUAAGCGCGAAGCCAACUUCAAGAUAAGAUUUCCCACCGCAAGGGUAAGACCCCAGAAAGACUAUCUGGUUGAUAGGUCGAAGGUGUAAGUGCAGCAAUGUAUUUAGCUUAUCGAUACUAAUAGGUCGAGGACUUGACCAA
rnacentral:rRNA from 1 species